rnacentral:rRNA from 1 species
UACGGGGGGGGCAAGCGUUGUUCGGAAUUACUGGGCGUAAAGGGCUCGUAGGCGGCCAACUAAGUCGGAUGUGAAAUCCCCAGGCUCAACCUGGGAACUGCAUCCGAUACUGGAUGGCUUGAAUCCGGGAGAGGGAUGCAGAAUUCCAGGUGUAGCGGUGAAAUGCGUAGAUAUCUGGAGGAACACCGGUGGCGAAGGCGGCAUCCUGGACCGAUACUGACGCUGAGGAGCGAAAGCCAGGGGAGCAAACGGG